CUAAUUCUAAAACAUAAUUUUAGACCUAGUAAUGGAGACUUGAGCCGUUGAUCACAGACUAAUGCAGUUAUGAAAAAGAGUAAGCAUGUG